GGAAGGAGCAUGGCGUGGAGACACCUGAAAAAGCGGGCCCAGGAUGCUGUGAUCAUCCUGGGGGGUGGAGGACUUGUCUUCGCCUCCUACCUGAUGGCCACGGGAGAUGAGCGUUUCUAUGCUGAACACCUGAUGCCGACUCUGCAGGGGCUGCUGGACCCGGAGUCAGCCCACAGACUGGCUGUUCGCUUCACCUCCCUGGGGCUCCUUCCACGGGCCAGAUUUCAAGACUCUGACAUGCUGGUAGUGCUUCCAGACACCCUAUACAUUAAAUACAAAGGCGAAGGCUGCAGUCCCCUAAACUUCUCAGCUGGGACUGAUCUUUUUGAAAAC
rnacentral:lncRNA from 1 species